GGAUUGGGAUACAUCGGUCGCGCCUUUUGGGGCAUGAAUCGGUGUGUGGUCAAUUCUCACCUUCCGGUGAAUCGGGAUGCUCUCGGGUGUUUCGAUGAACUAGGACCUUUACUUUGAAAAAAUUAGAGUGUUUAAAGCGGGCAUUUUUGCUUGAAUACAUUAGCAUGGAAUAAUAAAAUA
rnacentral:rRNA from 1 species